rnacentral:rRNA from 1 species
UCAGGCCUAACACAUGCAAGUCGAACGAAGUAGCAAUACUUAGUGGCAGACGGGUGAGUAACAUGUAGGUAUCUGCCCUUUGGCCUGGAAUAACACGAGGAAACUUGUGCUAAUACCGGAUAAGUCUUUACGGAGAAAGCUUUAUGCACCAUUGGAUGAGCCUGCACUUGAUUAGUUUGUUGGUGGGGUAAUGGCCUACCAAGACUGUGAUCAAUAGCUGAUUUGAGAGGAUGAUCAGCCACAUUGGGACUGAGACACGGCCCAAACUCCUACGGGAGGCAGCAGUGGGGAAUCUUGCACAAUGGAGGAAACUCUGAUGCAGCGAUGCCGCGUGAGUGAAGAAGGCCCUUGGGUUGUAAAGCUCUUUCGUCGGGGAAGAAAAUGACUGUACCCGAAUAAGAAGGUCCGGCUAACUUCGUGCCAGCAGCCGCGGUAAUACGAAGGGACCUAGCGUAGCUCGGAAUUACUGGGCUUAAAGAGUUCGUAGGUGGUUGAAAAAGUUGGUGGUGAAAUCCCAGAGCUUAACUCUGGAACUGCCAUCAAAACUUUUCAGCUAGAGUAUGAUAGAGGAAAGCAGAAUUUCUAGUGUAGAGGUGAAAUUCGUAGAUAUUAGAAAGAAUACCAAUUGCGAAGGCAGCUUUCUGGAUCAUUACUGACACUGAGGAACGAAAGCAUGGGUAGCGAAGAGGAUUAGAUACCC